rnacentral:rRNA from 1 species
GACAGAGGGUGCAAACGUUGUUCGGAAUUACUGGGCGUAAAGCGCGUGUAGGCGGCUAUGCAAGUCGGGCGUGAAAUCCCACGGCUCAACCGUGGAAGUGCACUCGAAACUGCGUAGCUAGAGUCCCGGAGAGGAAGGUGGAAUACUUGGUGUAGAGGUGAAAUUCGUAGAUAUCAAGUGGAACACCGGUGGCGAAGGCGGCCUUCUGGACGGUGACUGACGCUGAGACGCGAAAGCGUGGGGAGCAAACAGGAUUAGAAACCCUAGUAGUCC